UCCGGCCUUUUCCUUCCGGAAGACCUCCCGCUGCUGCCAAGCGCCGGGCCCCUUCCGGGGUCUCUCAAAGGCGAGGGGAGCGCGGCUUGAGCGGAUGCCGGGUACCGUUUUGGGCCUCUCAGCCCCUCAGUCCGCGCGCCAACUGGAGGCUUCGCGGUCAUUCUUCCCGUGUGGCCCAGGCGAACGCAGUGCUCCGCGUUAUCCCUCCCACGGAAGACAAGUCGCUCGGGCGGGUAGGAGCACAAGCUAGGAGUGGUAUGAAUGAAGUGUUUUCUAGAAGGGCGUGGACAAGUCUCUGGGACGCGGUUGAUAGUGCUGGUUUAUAGAGGGCCGUCUGGACACAAAAGGCAUUGAUACGAUUGAAAAGCUGCUUUCCUUCUCGGUCACAAGCCAUGAUGAAUUGGUGACUCAGACGCUUUGGAAAAAAAUUGAAAUAAAUAAAUAAAUAAAUAAAAGCUGCUUUCCUUGCCAACAGCCCCAUACCCUCCCCAGGAGCGCGCUGGCCCCUUGGAAGACUUUUUCGUUAUGUAAACUCAGAGUUUAAUUACAUUACAAACGAAGAUCUCACUCUUGGAAAGGAUGUUUUCUUGAAUUGUUAUCCAUGGGGCAAGGCACCAAAAUGAGUCUCCGGGUGGGUGAACGGUCCAUCAUCCUUUCAGUAGUGGGAGAAGGGUGACUGUGAAGGAGGAGGUUGAAAAAAGGAACCUCAGGCUCAUUUUCAGG